AUUGCCCUAGUAAUGGCGAAUGAAGCGGCAACAGCUCAAAUUUGAAAUCUGGCCCUCCUUCUUGGGGGGUCCGAGUUGUAAUUUGCAGAGGGUGCUUUGGCGUUGGUGGCGGUCUAAGUUCCUUGGAACAGGCCAUCGCAGAGGGUGAGAAUCCCGUAUGUGGUCGCCCGCCUUCGCCGUGUAAAGCCCCCUCGACGAGUCGCGUUGUUUGGGAAUGCAGCGCAAAAUGGGAGGUAAAUUUCUUCUAAAGCUAAAUACUGGCCAGAGACCGAUAGCGCACAAGUAGAGUGAUCGAAAGAUGAAAAGCACUUUGGAAAGAGAGUCAAAUAGCACGUGAAAUUGUUGAAAGGGAAGCGCUUGCAGCCAGACGUGUCUGCGGUUGCUCAGCCGGGCUCCCCCCCGGUGCACUCUUCCGCAGGCAGGCCAGCAUCAGUUUGGGCGACUGGUAGAAAGACCUCUGUCACGUAUCUUCCUUCGGGAUGACCUUAUAGGGGAGGUGUAAUGCAGCCAGCCUGGACUGAGGGACCGCGCUUCGGCGAGGAUGCUGGCGUAAUGGCUGUAAGCGGCCCGUCUUGAAACACGGACCAAGGAGUCUAACAUCUAUGCGAGUGUUUGGGUGUCAAGCCCGGGCGCGCAAUGAAAGUAAACGGAGGUGGGAACCCCUCCUUGCGGGGGGGGCGCACCAUCGACCGAUCCUGAUGUCU
rnacentral:rRNA from 1 species